rnacentral:tRNA from 1 species
GCCAGGAUGGCCGAGUGGUUAAGGCGCCAGACUUAAGAUCUGGUCUUCGUAGGAAGACGUGGGUUCAAUCCCCACUCCUGGCA